AUGAAUAGGUGAAUAGCUGUAAUCACUGCUAAUAAGUCAUUGUUAUAAUCUGUUGCAUAGUCUUUGUCUUUUCAUGUUCAUUUCCUUCCUCUUUUCCUUUCUUUCCCUUUUUAAACUGACAAAGAACUCCAAUACUCUCAUAGAGAAUUGUUGCAUCCAACAAUUUCUUUGUCACCUGAUCAUUCAUCUACUACCUCAGGCCACUUUCAGCUGGAACACCUGACUCUCUUGGUCUUUACCAUUUGAAGACAGGAGACUGUUAGAGUUUAAUAGCUGUACUAGCUAAUCACCGCCAAGAAAGUCAUCGUAUGCAAUUUGCGGCCAGAACUCCAAGUCCAGGUACUAUGUAUUAGGUACUAUGAUAUAGGUACCAUGCUAUAGAUACUAUGGUAUAGGUACCAUGGUUUAGGUUUUUUUGAAAAGUUGAUCUCAACGAAGGAUUAAACUCCACUAACCCCUAUUAAUUAUUAUGGAUGACUGUGCGGACUGAAGAAAGGUUGUCUUGGCUUUUGGUAUUUCAGUAUCAUCGGUUCGGCAACACAAACACAGCCACUGCCAUUUUUUCCGUCGUGAUCUUAACCACUGCAACGCCAUUACGGUGGAUACCGUCAUGACGGCCCAUGAAGCCUCCUCUUCAUCCUCCUCCGAGUCAAAACUUUGGAAUUACGACGUGUUCUUGAGCUUCAGUGGCGAAGACACGCGCCAUGGCUUCACG
rnacentral:sRNA from 1 species